GCACUUCUUCAGCAGUACAUAUGCUAAACUGAAUGAAGCACAGGCUAGCAUGGCCCCUGCACCAGGCAGACAUGCAAAUUCACCAAGUGCUCCAUGGAUUU
rnacentral:snRNA from 1 species